UUCCUUUUACGCAUGGACCCUCCGCGCUUUCCGUAUGUUUUGGGACGUUUGUCAUGUGAGUCCAGGGAUUGUCAAAACGUUUAGAGAAAACCGACUUCAUCAAAUGAACGUGUUUUAUUUUCCAUCACGAUAAAUGGUUAAAAUGCUCUCCCGUUUAUUAAAAGAACACCAAGCGAAACAAAACGAAAGGAAAGAGUUACAAGAAAGACGAAGACGAGAGGCCAUAGCAGCAGCAACAUGUUUAACAGAAGCCCUGGUGGAUCAUCUCAACGUAGGGGUGGCCCAGGCGUACGUCAACCAGCGCAAGCUGGACCACGAGGUGAAGACGUUGCAGGUUCAGGCCAGUCAGUUUGCCAAGCAAACGGCCCAGUGGAUCAACAUGGUGGAGAACUUCAACCAGGCUUUAAAAGAAAUCGGAGACGUGGAGAACUGGGCGCGAAGCAUUGAGAUGGACAUGCGGACGAUCGCGACGGCUUUGGAGUACGUGCACAAAGGCCCGGUUCAGCCGGCGUCUUCGUGAGCCGACGGACUCUGAUGGUCCGAAACGGACAGAAGCACUGAGGCUUUUCUUCAAGCCGUUGGUGAAACUCGGACAGGACGCUGUUAUUUUCCCCCCCACACAUUUUACCACCCCAAGUUUUCCUUGUACACCUGCACAGAUUCACCGUCCAGCUUCUGGCUUGUUUUGACCAACAUUUGGCCUCGGCAAUGAACGUAUAGUACCAGAAUUACGAAACCCUGUCCCUUUUUUAGCUUUUAUAGACGUGACGGUGCGCUAAAAUAGAUUUUAUGCAUUUUUUUGUGGGAUUUCACGGUUGGCUCAGUUUUACUUAACCCACUAACUACUAACACCGUGACGCUGCAUAAUCCACUUUUACAACAAGGUCUUUCAGCCUCGGGAUUAACAUUAAGGACAAACAGUAAAACAUUAAAAACUAGCCCGAGCAGAAUGUGGAGGUUUUUAAAUCCCAACACGCCAGGUUAUAAAUAUUCGCUCCGCUCCACUGCAUAUUUCCAGUAGUUUUAUUUAUCUUUAUUUCUCAAGAUCCAAACCGUUUAUGGGCAAAAACAGAUCACUCCAUAUUUAAAUGUUAAACAGUUAUGUUUUUUAUUAUGCUGUCACAUCGUUUUAUUGCAUUAGCUGUAUUUAUUUGGUUGGUUAGUUAGUUUUUAAUCAAAAACCAAAUGCAGCUUGACUUAGAUUAACUGGAAUGCACGGUUUUUUUAAAAAGCAGAUGCUCCCCAUAAUGGUGACGAAUUGUUGAAUAAAGUCAUUAUUUAAAUUUUCUUUUUCGUACAAAAACCAUUCUCGUAGCCAUUACAGUUGAACCACUGAUAAGUCUUUCGUACUUUUCUGGACCUCGACCGGGGUUCAUCACUCGGCAGUCAAUAUUUUAAUCCAAAAUAUUAUCCAAAGUAUCGUAGGCUACGUCUGUUAUCACAGUUAUUUCAUAAAUGUAAGACACGACUGUGUGUGAUUGUAAGAAAAAUAGGUUUUCACGAUUUCUUUGGGGUUGGGUUAUGGCACUGUUGUGGUUCAGUUCUGGCUAAAAUACGUUGGCCUGAACACAUAUUAAUCUCUCUCUUUUUUUUGUACAACGAGAAAUAUAAAAUCUCGUUAUUACGAACUGAGUGGGAUAAUGGUGUGCGUUUCAACGCUGCGUUAAGGAAAGAGUUUACCGCCGUUUUCGAAAGAGGUUUAAAGCGGACUUUGUUUACAGUUUCUGGAGCUAAAUGCUAAUUUUGUUUUAAAAAGGGCGCGCGUGACCAACCCAAAAACUACCAGGGCGAUUGCUCAAGUGGAAACUUCACUUCACAAUAAAAUAACAAAAGCUUCUUCUAUUCGACGACUAUUACUACUAAUUACAAACGAGUGCACGCAAAAAUAUAAACUACAGCGAAACAAUCAUUGCUAGCGGCGAGUAGCCUAACAAUGUAAACGGAUAUAGAAAUAAAGCGUCAAAC